GGAUGUAAAAGUCGUAACAAGGUCUCCGUAGGUGAACCUGCGGAGGGAUCAUUACUGAGUGAGGGCCUCUGGCCCGGCCUCCAACCCUUUGAUGUCCGACUCUGUUGCCUCGGGGGCGACCCGGCCUUCGGGCCCGGGGCCCCCCGUGGUCCACUCAACUCUGCAUCUUUGCGUCUGAGUAAACAUUAAAUGAAACAAAACUUUCAACAACGGAUCUCUUGGUUCUG
rnacentral:misc_RNA from 1 species